rnacentral:rRNA from 1 species
GACCAACGCUGGCGGCAUGCCUAACACAUGCAAGUCGAACGGACAGAACAGGGAAGCUUUUCGGAGUGGAACUGGAAAGUUAGUGGCGGAUGGGUGAGUAACGCGUGGACAACCUACCUUGUAAAGGGGAAUAACCUCGAGAAAUCGAAGCUAAUACCCCAUAAUAACCUUGCUUCGCAUGAAGUAAGGAGGACAGGCGGCCUUAGCGCUGUCGAUACAAGAUGGGUCCGCGUCUGAUUAGCUAGUUGGUGAGGUAAAGGCUCACCAAGGCGACGAUCAGUAGCCGGCCUGAGAGGGUGAACGGCCACAUUGGGACUGAGACACGGCCCAAACGCCUACGGGAGGCAGCAGUGGGGAAUCUUCCGCAAUGGGCGAAAGCCUGACGGAGCAAUGCCGCGUGAGUGAAGAAGGCCUUCGGGUUGUAAAACUCUGUCCUUAUCGAAGAGAGAGUGUUGUAGUAACUGACAAUACUAGGACGGUAGAUGAGGAGGAAGCCCCGGCUAACUAUGUG